GACGAACGCUGGCGGCGUGCUUAACACAUGCAAGUCGAGCGGUAAGGCCCCUUCGGGGGUACACGAGCGGCGAACGGGUGAGUAACACGUGAGCAAUCUGCCCAUCACAUCGGGAUAACUCCGGGAAACCGAAGCUAAUACCGAAUACGACCACCUCCGGCAUCGGAUGGUGGUGGAAAGUUCCGGCGGUGAUGGAUGAGCUCGCGGCCUAUCAGCUUGUUGGUGGGGUAACGGCCCACCAAGGCUUCGACGGGUAGCCGGCCUGAGAGGGUGACCGGCCACACUGGGACUGAGACACGGCCCAGACUCCUACGGGAGGCAGCAGUGGGGAAUAUUGGACAAUGGGCGAAAGCCUGAUCCAGCAACGCCGCGUGAGGGAUGACGGCCUUCGGGUUGUAAACCGCUUUCAGCAGGGACGAAGCGCAAGUGACGGUACCUGCAGAAGAAGCACCGGCCAACUACGU
rnacentral:rRNA from 1 species